rnacentral:pre_miRNA from 1 species
CUUGUACUCCCUUCGUCCGAAAAUACUUGUCAUUGAAAUGGAUGUAUAUAGAUGUAUUUUAGUUCUAGACACAUCCAUUUUGAUGACAAGUAAUUCCGGACGGAGGGAGUACUUG